CUUCACCGACCCCAGCCAGAGCGGCUCGGCCCGACCCUGCCCGUAAGUGGCCAGCAACGCCUGAGCCUC
rnacentral:antisense_RNA from 1 species